CCCAAAUUUUCAUUUCCCACCAUUUUCCUCUCAAUCCAAAUUUUCAUUCCCCCUUAGCACUCUCCAGGAUUUACAAACUCUAAACACUCUUCGGUCUUCACAAACACCAUGUUUGUAUAACAACUCCCUCUCCGGUAAAGCUCCAUUUGUUUUGUGUUUCUCUUGAUACAAACCCUCUCCACAAAUUCUCUUGAUUGUAACACUUCUAAUUUACCUCUCUGGAUUGUAACAUCUUUGAUUUACAAACUCUGCACGAUCCAUAGGUACAUAAAAACUGUCUCCACAAACUCUCUCCAUUUGGAACUCAUUUUAUCUUCUUUUUUUGUUACACAUAAAACAAAUUCUUCUUCUUGAAAUUGCGGCUAAUUAGGGUUUCAAUUUUGGGGCUUACAUUUUGCAGUUCAAGAGUUCUGUACAAAAUCGGGAGCAUUUGAAUUUAAAUGGUGGCCAGAGAGUCAGUGAUAAAGGAGUUGAAGCAAUAACUUAUGCUUGUCCUAAAUUUAAAAGUUUCUCCAUCUAUUGGAAUGUAAGAUGUCUUAGCACUACCCCUUUCACUGGUCAGUACAGGAGAUGCGAGGAUCAAGUUUAAAGUAAGUGAGACUCGGUUCUUCUGAAGCUUGACCCGAAUUCCUGGUUUCAAGUGAGAGAGGAUUACGCCGACCAUGUUAAGUUUGGAGGGGAUGUUUGCCAGGAAGUGAUUAUUUCAGUGUCCAGCAAACUAGAAAACAUAGUCAACUUCAUUGUGAGGGAUUAUCAAGCAGACAUUAUCAAGUUCAAGGAGGACUAAACUUGUAGCUCUAAAUCACAUCCUGUCCACCUCCUUACGUCAGUGCAGAUAUAUCUACUACAAUAGUCGGUGCAUCAAGCUAACAGAUGGGGGUUUGCAACAGAUAUUAUUCAAAUGUUGGGCUUUCCGGACUCUAAAUCUUUAUGCCGAUACAAGGUAAAUUCUAGAAAGGCUAUAUCUACAUGUUUAUUUCUUGAAGUACAAAGGGGCCUGUUUGGAAUAUGUUCAGGUAAAUUUGUUGUUUAAAUGGGAGUUUUUUUGUGUGCGGAAAUUCUUCAAUUCUCGUGGCGUUUUGAAGUGUCAGUAGUACUGUUGGUUCUUUCCUCCCAGCAGACUCAACAACUUCGAGCUUUGCUAGUCAAGCCUAUGAACUCCGCCCCCCAACUUCUUAAAGUACGAGACAUAUCUUCCGAUAGUUUAGAUAGAUCAUACUCUUGUGUAAACCGAGUAUUGUGACUUUGACAUGAGAUUGUUUUGUAUACGUUUUGAUAUUGAAUUUGUAAUUAUUGUGAUUUAUUUAUGGUUUUUAAGCAUUUUAUAAAUUAUUAUUUUCAAUUUAAAUAAAA